rnacentral:rRNA from 1 species
GAUGAACGCUGGCGGCGUGCCUAAUACAUGCAAGUCGAGCGAACAGACGAGGAACUUGCUCCUCUGACGUUAGCGGCGGACGGGUGAGUAACACGUGGAUAACCUACCUAUAAGACUGGGAUAACUUCGGGAAACCGGAGCUAAUACCGGAUAAUAUAUUGAACCGCAUGGUUCAAUAGUGAAAGACGGUUUUGCUGUUACUUAUAGAUGGACCUGCGCCGCAUUAGCUAGUUGGUAAGGUAACGGCUUACCAAGGCAACGAUGCGUAGCCGACCUGAGAGGGUGAUCGGCCACACUGGAACUGAGACACGGUCCAGACUCCUACGGGAGGCAGCAGUAGGGAAUCUUCCGCAAUGGGCGGAAGCCUGGCGGAGCAACGCCGCGUGAGGGAUGAAGGUCUUCGGAUAGUAGAACUCUGUUACUAUGGAAGAACAAAUGUGUAAGUAACUAUGCUCGUCUUGACGGUACCUAAACAGAAAGCCACGGCUAACUACGUG